GGGCUUGCGUCCGAUUAGCUGGUUGGUAGGGUAACGGCUUACCAAGGCGAGGAUCGGUAGCUGGUUUGAGAGGACGGUCAGCCACACUGGGACUGAGAAACGGCCCAGACUCCUACUGGAGGCAGCAGCAAGGAAUAUUGCGCAAUGGGCGAAAGCCUGACGCAGCGACGCCGCGUGGGGGAUGAAGGCUUCCGGGUUGUAAACCCCUUUUCUCAGGGAAGUGACGGUACCUGAGGAAUAAGUCUCGCUAACUACGUGCCAGCAGCCGCGGUAAUACGUAGGAGGCGAGCGUUAUCCGGAUUUACUGGGCGUAAAGCGGGCGUAGGCGGUCCUUCAAGUCGGAUGUAAAAUCUCCCGGCUCAACUGGGAGAGACCAUUCGAAACUGCUGGGCUUGAGGAUAGCAGAGGGAGGUGGAAUUCCCGGUGUAGUGGUGAUAUGCGUAGAU
rnacentral:rRNA from 1 species